CUUGUAUUUUGUUUAUAAGUGAUGCAAACCAAGUGUUUGUCAAAAUGCCAAUGUGAAGCCUUUGAUUGAAUUAGUGCCCCGUAUUCACACUAAUAUUCACGUUUGCAGCACAUUUUGAAUGUAUGCAAGGUUCAUCCUGCAUCCCAUGCAUUACCAACCUGCGGUCCUACAUUAUAACCACAAUCCUUGCAUUCCAUCGCUUUCCCCGUUUUCUGCAUGCGUUCCCUAUAUUUGGCCCCCAUCACACAUAUCUAUUAUGCUCUGUGUAAAUUAUUUUAGGCCCUAUUUCCUUUCUUGUCUUGGACUAAUAUUAUUUUUUUACCUUUUAUUUGACAGGAUGCUGCCUAAAUGAAAGCAAGACGCAUCUGUGUAAAUUAUUUUAGGCCCUAUUUCCUUUCUUGUCUUGGACUAAUAUUAUUUUUUUACCUUUUAUUUGACAGGAUGCUGCCUAAAUGAAAGCAAGACGCAUCUAUCUCCAAAGGAAAGGAAAAGGCUUCCAUAUCCACCAUGGUACGAACACGUGUUUAUGAUGAAGGCAUGCAAUGAUUUCAGAUUGCAGAUCACAAGAGGCUAUUUUAUCGAGUAUUGAUGAAAAGGAAUAUAUGGCUUGAGAGUUGAGAUGUAGGCCAUUUUGGGAGAUUUUGAAGGGUAUGAUAUUGAAACACUCAUAUGUAGAGCAUGAUGGUCAUGUGUGAUUGAUAAACAACAUAGGAUCUACCGUACGAUGUUAUAAGAAUUCUAUGCAUGAUUUUGAAUUAGAGCAUGAGCAAUGAAGUUGGAUACGAGAUAAGUGGAUGAUACUUCCCCUGAGGUGAUCGAGGAGUUCUAUGGUUUGACUCGGAAAAACAUCGUCCCAAUACCUUUGGAGCAAGAUACAACCUUGGUUACUCGAAUGCUCUACGAGGUAUAGGAUGAGGUAGGUGAGGAGUUCAAAUACGAUCAAUUGACUCAUUCCUUGAUCGUUCUAAGUAAGUUCAUUUGUCACAACAUUGAGCCCACCUCACAUAUGUCACAUUUAAAUAUGCAAAAGUGAGGCUACUUUAAUAAUUGGCAAGGGUUUUCAAGAUACAUAUAGGUACAUGCAUCUAUAAUCAGAUUGUUGAGUUUGCUUCUCUGCCAGAACGUCAUCAGAAGUUGAUUGUUCUCAGCCUCAUUUGUGGGUUUUGCUUAUCAUCGGAGGGUAUGACUUCUUUCAACAGAGCGACCAUGCCUAGCCAGUGUCCCUUUUAGUCGUAAGACCGCGGAAAUUCGUGGCAAAAUAUCCUCCAGAGCAGGCAGUGUCAGUAGCAACCAUUGUAGAAGGCCAUGGGCCCGCAGUCUCCACAGCCAGAUCCUAUCAAUGACACUCCAGUCCACUCCAGCGACAGUUGAUUGUGGACUCAACUGAGACCAUCCAGGGCUUGCUACGGAUAAAGCAGUUACUUGUGUCCUUGGAUAUGAAAGAUGGUUGUGUGGAGACCCGUGCUACUGCUAUACAUGAUCAUGUGUUGUCGCUACAAGAUGAUGCAUCCAGUGUGAGUAGGAGGAGCAAUAUGGUCAUAGAGAGGAUGGAUAGAUAUAUUGGACGGAUUGAUGAUCUUAUUAUCCAGGUUGAUAGGUCCAUUGAUAUGAUGAGAAGUGUGCAUGCCCCAUUACAAUGAGAGUUAUGAUAUAGUGCGAGGCAUGCAAGGUUGAAUUGAUGAGAAGUCCGCUCCAUGAGAGAGAUUCUCUCACACCUACUCCCAUGUUCUCCAUUUUCUUCAGAUCCAGCAAGUUUUGGGGCUUCUCUACCGUUCCAUCACUGCUACCGUCAGAUUGACCAAAAAAAUCUCUAUUUUCCUUCUUUGCCUUUUGUUUUGCAUUUCACUAUCAUAUUUUUGUACAUUGAGGACAAUGUACAUGUUAAGUUUGGGGUGGCUGUUGUUUUAUCAUCGAUUGUUCUAUAGAAUUAACUGCUUUUGUGUGAUUGUCAACUGUCAAAAAAAUGUAGAAAAUCAGAAAAAUUCAUAAAAACAUGUCCUUUUAUGCUUUUUAUUACUUUUGAGUGUUUAUGUGCCCAUGAAGUAAGAUAAUACCAGCCUCGGGUCUUAUCCACCCCAG
rnacentral:lncRNA from 1 species